rnacentral:misc_RNA from 1 species
CCACAUUGAAUCUCAUCGAAGACUAGAAGAGUUCCAGCCUCAUCACAAGCAUUUCUCAAGGAAAGCAAGAACUCCUUUGUAGCACUGAAAAUGCCACCUUCACCUUGAAUGGGUUCGAGAAAAACGGCAGCAAUUUUCCCUUUGAGAAUCAAGUUGGUUGCAGCCUCAAUAUCACCAUAUGGCAAGAAAGUAACACCAGGCAUAACAGGCUCAAAAGGAGCCCUGUAAUGUUCUUUACUCGUUAAGGCAAGAGCCCCCAUUGUCCGGCCAUGAAAACAAUUGGAAAAAGCAACGAACUCCACAGGGGGUGAGUCUUUGGAUUCAGUAUGAGAAAAUCUCUGAAACUUCCUAGCAAACUUAAUGGCAGCUUCAUUUGCUUCCGUGCCAGAGUUGGUGAAAAACACACGAUCCGCAAAUGAUUUAGCCACAAGGCGUUUUGCAAGUUCUACCUGAGGG